CUCCCUCUCUGCUGCUGCAGGAGGAUUGGAUUGGAUUGGUUUCUACUUGCUCUAUUAUCUAUUUGAGAAUCUGAGAUGCGGCCCUCCAAAUCUUCGGCCCCAGAAGGAGGAUUUGAGAGUGGAGAAGGGUCACCUGAAUGUGAUUUGGAGGAAGGAGCUGUCCAGGAAUCAAAAUGUUAUUAUUUUACUAUUCUGCAGGGGAGAAUCUAAAGAUUAUUUGUUUCUUUUUAUGCCUGCAGAUCGUGUUUAGUGUUUGGGAUUCACACCCUGCAUUGAUAAGAUCACCACAUGCAGACUAUUCAUUCCUUGCCAAACUACACAUGCUAGCUACUGUUUGAAGAUGACGUUGUAAAAAAUGCAUAAGCUGGGGAUGGCAUGGUGAUGCUGCUGGUCGAGAAGUACCAUCCCAUUCCCUCCUUACCUACCAAUGCUUCCUCCUGCCUUGCCAGCCGCAUGUGUCCUCACCU